rnacentral:rRNA from 1 species
CACGCCGUAAACGAUGAAUACUAGGUGUAGGGGCCCCAAGCCUCUGUGCCGCCGCUAACGCAUUAAGUAUUCCGCCUGGGGAGUACGGUCGCAAGAUUAAAACUCAAAGGAAUUGACGGG